rnacentral:rRNA from 1 species
UAGGGAAUAUUGGACAAUGGGGGCAACCCUGAUCCAGCCAUGCCGCGUGAGUGAAGAAGGCCCUCGGGUUGUAAAGCUCUUUUGUCCGGAAAGAAAAGCUUCGGGUUAAUACCCCGGGGUUCUGACGGUACCGGAAGAAUAAGCACCGGCUAACUUCGUGCCAGCAGCCGCGGUAAUACGAAGGGUGCAAGCGUUACUCGGAAUUACUGGGCGUAAAGCGUGCGUAGGUGGUUGUUUAAGUCUGAUGUGAAAGCCCUGGGCUCAACCUGGGAAUGGCAUUGGAAACUGGGCAGCUAGAGUGCGGUAGAGGGUAGUGGAAUUCCCGGUGUAGCAGUGAAAUGCGUAGAGAGCGGGAGGAACAUCUGUGGCGAAGGCGACUGCCUGGACCAGCACUGACACUGAGGCACGAAAGCGUGGGGAGCAAACA